rnacentral:rRNA from 1 species
GGGUGAGUAACGCGUAAGGAACUUGCCUCUUGGUCUGGGACAACUGUUGGAAACGACAGCUAAUACCGGAUAUUAUGAGAUUCUCGCAUGGGAAACUUAUGAAAGCUAUAUGCGCCAAGAGAGAGCCUUGCGUUCCAUUAGCUAGUUGGUGGGGUAACGGCCCACCAAGGCGACGAUGGAUAGCCGGCCUGAGAGGGUGAACGGCCACAAGGGGACUGAGACACGGCCCUUACUCCUACGGGAGGCAGCAGUGGGGAAUAUUGGACAAUGGGCCACAAGCCUGAUCCAGCAAUUCUGUGUGCACGAUGAAGGUCUUCGGAUUGUAAAGUGCUUUCAGUUGGGAAGAAGAAAGUGACGGUACCAACAGAAGAAGCGACGGCUAAAUACGUGCCAGCAGCCGCGGUAAUACGUAUGUCGCAAGCGUUAUCCGGAUUUAUUGGGCGUAAAGCGCGUCUAGGCGGAAAAAUAAGUCUGAUGUUAAAAUGCGGGGCUCAACUCCGUAUUGCGUUGGAAACUGUUUUUCUAGAGUACUGGAGAGGUGGGCGGAACUACGAGUGUAGAGGUGAAAUUCGUAGAUAUUUGUAGGAAUGCCGAUGGAGAAGUCAGCUCACUGGACAGAUACUGACGCUAAAGCGCGAAAGCGUGGGGAGCAAACAGG